UGCUCGUUGCGCGUGAGCAGCUAGUCAUCGUCUAACGCUAGGAUUUUAGUUAACGUUGUAGUUAGUUCUUGUGUAAAUGGCAAGUCGCAGACACUGGACAACAGAGCCAGAUGGAGAAGUGAGCAUUAAGAAAACGUUCACAGGUCCUGCUGCUGCAGAACCCAAGACUGUUAUUCAGUGUCUUGCAAAGACUGUGGAAGAGGUGCCUGAUAAGCCAGCUCUUGUAUACAAGAAAUAUGGAUGGAAAGUUUACAGUUACAAGAAAUACUAUGAAG